UACGGGGGGGGCAAGCGUUGUUCGGAAUUACUGGGCGUAAAGGGCUUGUAGGUGGCCAACUAAGUCAGACGUGAAAUCCCUCGGCUUAACCGGGGAACUGCGUCUGAUACUGGAUGGCUUGAGUUUGGGAGAGGGAUGCGGAAUUCCAGGUGUAGCGGUGAAAUGCGCAGAUAUCGGGAGGAACACCAAUGGCGAAGGCAGCUCGCUGGGACGGUACUGACGCUGAGGCGCGAAAGCGUGGGGAGCAAACAGG
rnacentral:rRNA from 1 species